rnacentral:rRNA from 1 species
UACGGAGGGGGCUAGCGUUGUUCGGAAUUACUGGGCGUAAAGGGCGCGUAGGCGGCUUUGAUAGUCGAGUGUGAAAUGCCUGGGCUUAACCCAGGAACUGCACUCGAAACUCCAAGGCUUGAGUGUGGGAGAGGUUGGUGGAAUUCCCAGUGUAGAGGUGAAAUUCGUAGAUAUUGGGAAGAACACCGGUGGCGAAGGCGGCCAACUGGACCACAACUGACGCUGAGGCGCGAAAGCGUGGGGAGCAAACAGG